rnacentral:misc_RNA from 1 species
CGAUCAUACCGUUUUUAUAAUUGCGGCUUUGUAUUGGAAGUACUUGGCAACAAAAAUUUUGGAUCUUGUAGAUACAAUAAUAUUCGUGGUAAGAAAGAAAAACAACCAAAUAACAUUUUUACACGUCUAUCACCACGUGUUCAUGGUGCUCAUGACAUGGUGCACUCUGAAAUAUGACCCCUCGGACCAUUGGGCUUUUAUGGCGAUCGCAAAUUGUA